rnacentral:SRP_RNA from 1 species
GCUAAUGGUGGUGUGCCUUCUUGUCCCAGCAACUGGGGAAGUUGAAGUGGGAGAAUCUCUCGUGUCCUGGAGCUCUGGGCUACAAGGCAAUAUGCGGAUCAGGUGUUCACACUAAGUUUAGCAUCAAUAUGGUGACCUAUAUCAGAGAAGAGCCAGGAACAACCAUGUUGCUUAAGGAGAAGUGAACUACCCAAUUUAAAAACCCUGCAGGUCAAAAUUCCCACCUGGAGCAGUGGUGGGAUCGUACCUGUGAAUAGUCAUUGCAUUCCAGUCUGGGCAACAGUGACACUCCUUCUCUU